CUCUCCAGCUCAGUACCACAUCCUUGUAUCAAAUUCAGCCAUGACCACACUCAUUUUAGCUGGAAGGCUUCUCAAGGGAAAGAGGGACAGUCUGGAGAAAACGAGUUUGAAAAGCUGGCCUGGUGUAUGAGGGAAAUGAAAAUGGAGAAAUCUGGGCUUCAGAAGUUCAGUACACCAGAUCCAGUCUGGAAUAUCUUCUCUGACAUCAUCAAAAGACUGUUUUUCAAGCAGUAGAGACAUUGAGAGUUUCCCUUGAUGCCCCAUUG
rnacentral:lncRNA from 1 species